GAAUACUCCACAGCCCAAGGGUGCAGAUGAUGAGUCUCACACUUUCACAUAGUAAGAUAGCUCCAGCAUCCAGAUGAGCACACGCAAACUUCUCUAUAAAUGCGAAGCUCCUCUACAGCAGAUGACCUCUCAAAUCAGUUUGGUCACAGCACCUCCAGUUCCUACGCAAAGUUUCGGUCCAGCUCAAGAAACAUACAUCAUCACCAGGACAAGAAACAGACAGAAGCAGCCACGGUCAAAGUGUCUAGAGACAUGCCUAAGUAAUGCGUUUGAUUGAAAAAUACUACUGAUACUACAUUUGAUUACAAGGGCGUCGUGAAAUUUUCUAUGCGAGCUAAAGGGCUAUCAGAACAUCAAUUAGGUACAGCCGAUGAUAGCACCCAUUUCAGGGACCAAUGUUACUACAAGUGAUUUCUUCUUCCAGAUCAGGCACCCACCCCGUGUACAAGGCAAGAUCGUCCUAUAUUCAGAAAUACGAGUAGGAUACAGCGUGUGGCCGGGCCAUCCUAUAUCUUCUGCUUCAAC
rnacentral:lncRNA from 1 species